GAGGGGAUGGAAGACACCAGGAGAACAAGGCCUUCUACAUCAACUUGAGCACAGUUCAUAUGAACCCAGAGACUGAAAGAGCAAGCACAGGGCCUGCGAAGGUCCACUAUGAUUGAGAAAAUAUUAACCAGACUGUAUGGCCUGAACGUGGCUUUGAUGUCCUCAUUCUUCCUUUCUGAAGAGAAAGGCAUUUGUACCACAGGAACCUGACAGCAAUUGUUCUGAUUCAUGGCUUAGGAGGAGCAGCUGAUUAAUCCCUUGUCAGCAGUCUUGACCCGGUGUGGAAAAUAGAAUCUUCGAAGGCCUACUCACCAAUAUAUCAGGAGCAAGGCAGCAUGGCUUACAUCGCUCUUAAAUUCAAGGAAAGUUUAAGACAAUGCCAAGCAGCAAUCCUGGUCUCAGAAAUGCUUUAUAGGAACAUUUGGACACAGAACAGGAACAUACCAGGGAGAAGAGUUGAACAAUUGUGGCUUUCUUCCCUGGAAUAAAAAUCUUAUAUUUUCGGUCCUCCACAAAAUACUUUUUAAAAAAAAAUCACUAUUUUCUUUAUCAUAACUAUUGUGGUCUGUGUUUUGAUAUGAUAUAACAUGUUUUGGGAAUUUUAAAUCAUUCCAUUUCCUUCCCUCUUCAAUGAGUAUAGACACUAUGAACAUAGAACUCUAAUUUGUACAUUGUAUAAAAUAAUUGCAAAUAACUUCUAUUUCUAGAAUCAUCUUUAUGUGACACAUUCAGCUGUGAAGAAUAUGCAUACUAUAUAGUUUAAAACAGGAAUGUUUCUACUGAAAACCAUUUUAGUUCUUGAAAUGACAAAAGCCUUAAACUGAACACAUUGCUACUUUUAAUCAAGAAAAAAAUAACUUAGUAAUAUAAAAUGUGGUCUCGGAACAUAUGAUUAAAGUACAGAGAUGAAGUGGGAUAAUGUCCCCCCCUUUUUUUUCCAAAGAGGACCAUGUACAUGAAUCCAAUAUUUAUGAAUUUUAUUUACAACCACAAAGCAGACUGAAAAUCUGUCAAAUGAUGUGAAAUCCUAAAAGAUGCAGGGUGUUAAGAGAUGGUGGCCACCAAAGACAAAUCAAGUCUCAAAAUUAAAACUAUGCACAACUAAUAAGCAUACACAUGAAAGAUGAGAGAGAGAGAGAGAGAGAGAGAGAGAGAGAGAGCAUAAGAGACCCAUCUAUGAUAACCAGAGGAAGCUGAAAUGUGUUGAAGCCUUUCCCUUGUAAACUGCAUAAUAGCACUUUCAAUGUUCCCUUUCUGUCAUCCCCUGUAACCAUCAAGUUCGGGUUCUGCUGCUGCAGUCAGGUGCACGGGCACGGAGCUCUUACGGUUGGCUGCAUAGAAUUCUGAGGAAAGCCACAUCUGUACCAUUUUUUUUCUCUUGGACAGUAAUAAAUAACAAUUUGUGUUCAUUUAGAUUUUUUUCCCUGAGUAUAUUUACAGCAAGUUAUUCAGUUUUUUUUUUUUUUCUUAUCCUCUUAAAGCAUAGGUUUAAUUUUGAGUGCAUCUUUCAUUGUGAGAGUGUAAACCUUUGAUCGAGUGGCAUUUGCAUUUCAUUAUAGGGAAGUGCUUUACAUUGUCUUCAUAUGCACCACCCAAUUCCAUGUAUCAUCUUGGUUUGUGCUAGUCACUGUUUAAAACACUGGCUAUUAAGUGUGGCUUUGUGGACAGAAUCUGUAUGUUCUGUGCAGUACAAAACAGAAAAGAACAAGGAAAAAUUCAAAAUGAAUAGGUCAUUUGAAAGAAAUAUAGUAAGUUUUCAUGUGAUUGUUUUCAAUAUAGUAUUCUCGGCAAAAGAAUGCAAGUCAUCAUCUAAAACGUAACAUGUUCAGAUUGGCCGUAUCUCAUCAUUUAUUUCUUUUGUAAAAGAGCAAAUGGGAUGUAUUUUUAGGUGUUUCUUUGUGCAAGUUCCUAGCAAAUCCUGUUGGGAUAGCAUUAGAAAUAAUAAUGAAAUGAGCUGUAGGUAAUGGUAUAACUCUUGGAAAGUUUUUAAAUGUGAGGCUGUGAAAAUGUGUCCUUUGAAGGAUCAGCAAGCCUGUGGCAUUGUCUGUGAAAAUGGAAAGAAUUGAUAAGGCUUCUGUGCUUUUGAUCUUUAUCAGGUUUGCAAUGAUUCCUAUUUUAUAAGGUGACAUAUUUUUAGCCUUGUUGCAGGGAGAAAUGUUCUGUUUUUCCUCAGAAAGCUGGCAGAAAACCAUUUUCCG
ensembl:lincRNA Gm30340 predicted gene, 30340